GACGAACGCUGGCGGCGUGCUUAACACAUGCAGGUCGAACGGAAAGGCCCUGCUUUUGUGGGGUGCUCGAGUGGCGAACGGGUGAGUAACACGUGAGUAACCUGCCCUUGACUUUGGGAUAACUUCAGGAAACUGGGGCUAAUACCGGAUAGGAGCUCCUGCUGCAUGGUGGGGGUUGGAAAGUUUCGGCGGUUGGGGAUGGACUCGCGGCUUAUCAGCUUGUUGGUGGGGUAGUGGCUUACCAAGGCUUUGACGGGUAGCCGGCCUGAGAGGGUGACCGGCCACAUUGGGACUGAGAUACGGCCCAGACGCCUACGGGAGGCAGAAGUGGGGAAUAUUGCACAAUGGGCGGAAGCCUGAUGUAGCAACGCCGCGUGCGGGAUGACGGCCUUCGGGUUGGAAACCGCUUUCGCCUGUGACGAAGCGUGAGUGACGGUAAUGGGUAAAGAAGCACCGGCUAACUACGUG
rnacentral:rRNA from 1 species